rnacentral:rRNA from 1 species
GACGAACGCUGGCGGCGUGCUUAACACAUGCAAGUCGAGCGGUAAGGCCCUUUCGGGGGUACACGAGCGGCGAACGGGUGAGUAACACGUGGGUGACCUGCCCUCAGCUCUGGGAUAAGCCUGGGAAACUGGGUCUAAUACUGGAUAUGACUCCACGGUGCAUGUCGUGGGGUGGAAAGCCUUGUGCGGCUGAGGAUGGGCCCGCGGCCUAUCAGCUUGUUGGUGGGGGAUGGCCUACCAAGGCGACGACGGGUAGCCGGCCUGAGAGGGCGACCGGGCCACACUGGGACUGAGACACGGCCCAGACUCCUACGGGAGGCAGCAGUGGGGAAUCUUGCGCAAUGGGCGAAAGCCUGACGCAGCGACGCCGCGUGAGGCAUGACGGCCU